AACGAACGCUGGCGGCAGGCCUAACACAUGCAAGUCGAGCGCGCCCUUCGGGGUGAGCGGCGGACGGGUGAGUAACGCGUGGGAACGUGCCCUUUUCUACGGAAUAGCCUCGGGAAACUGAGAGUAAUACCGUAUACGCCCUUUGGGGGAAAGAUUUAUCGGAAAAGGAUCGGCCCGCGUUGGAUUAGGUAGUUGGUGGGGUAAUGGCCUACCAAGCCGACGAUCCAUAGCUGGUUUGAGAGGAUGAUCAGCCACACUGGGACUGAGACACGGCCCAGACUCCUACGGGAGGCAGCAGUGGGGAAUCUUAGACAAUGGGGGCAACCCUGAUCUAGCCAUGCCGCGUGAGUGAUGAAGGCCUUAGGGUUGUAAAGCUCUUUCAGCUGGGAAGAUAAUGACGGUACCGGCAGAAGAAGCCCCGGCUAACUCCGUG
rnacentral:rRNA from 1 species